CAGGGUAUUGGGAUCACUUUUGAGAAUUCUCAUCGGUGUGGAUCUCGUGUGGUGGAAUGGAACAAUAAAGCUGGACCCUUGCUUCUUCUCACUCACGGCUGGUGUAUUUUUUCUAUCUCCAACUGGUCUCAGAGGUAGAUGGAGAAUCAUCUACUACACUUCACUGCCACCACUAGGUGUAAGUGACACUUCUGUUCAAGAUGCUCUCAUGGAAAUUAGUGUUGUUAGUAUUGGAAAAGUUGAUAUAGUUACUGAAUCAAAAUUCUGGCCAGUGGGUCAACAUUACCAUAUUGGUCCUAAUAUAAGGUCGCUGCGCCCUAAUUCAACAUGCUGACGUGCUGCACUGGGAUUGGAGAGGAGAAGAUUGUGCGUUGUUUAAAAAGUGGAAGAACGAUAUGUCAGGAGGAAUGUGGAUAUGUGGUGUGUCUGUGAUUGAGUGCAUACUAUUGAGUAGCGAAUAUUUUUCCCUGUGUUUGAGUGAAAUCGCUUGCUUGUUGUAUUGUGGGUGAAUAAAAGAAGUGAGUGGUAGGAUAUUGUGUUGUCCCAUUCCCCUGUUUUGUCUUUUGUUGUGGCUGAGUGUACGCCUUUAUUGUAAAUAUAUCUUUCAUUGUAAAUAUUUCUUCUCUACUCAUCACGAAAGUGGGAGGGGUUGGGUGCUGUUUAUUUUUGGGUGUAUCUUUUGUUCACUGUUUUUUCCUCAGUUAGGGAGUCAGGUUAGACUCUGUAUUUUCUUUUGAAAUACCUUUUUUUGUUAGGUAAUUUAAAUAUGGGACAAGAUAGUGACUGUUCUGUUUAUUAUUUUGGCCUUGCCCAGCCCUGAAGAGAUUAGUUU
ensembl:lncRNA